rnacentral:rRNA from 1 species
UACGUAGGCAGCAAGCGUUGUUCGGAGUUACUGGGCGUAAAGGGUGCGUAGGCGGCUCUAUAAGUAUGGUGUGAAAUCUCCCGGCUUAACUGGGAGGGUGCGCUAUAGACUGUGGGGCUAGAGUGUGGGAGAGGAAAGUGGAAUUCCUGGUGUAGCGGUGAAAUGCGUAGAUAUCAGGAGGAACACCGGUGGUGUAAACGGCUCUCUGGACCAUAACUGACGCUGAGGCACGAAAGCGUGGGUAGCAAACAGG